AGCAUGAUUGUACACCCUCCCACAUCUGUCUUUUUCCAACCUAAAAAUCAAUCACAACCCCACAUCCCAAAGAGGGCUAUUCCACUCUCUUAUAUGCAAAUCAAACCAUAAUCAUUUGGAGAUAACCCACACAUUAACAACAUAAAAAAAAAAAAAAUCUUAUCCCUCUCAUCAUGCUUCCACCAUUUCCUUUGUUUGUUCUGAUGCCAAUCCAAAACCCACAUAGCUCUAAGGCCGGUCAUGGUAUCUAUAAGUAGAAACGGUAUGGAGAGGUAGAGUUUCGUUGUUUGUACUCCUGGCAGCGUUGGCGCAGAACAAGUGCACUGCUUUAGUGUGCUCUUGCUAUGUACCAUCAAGGAGUUUGGACAACAGGGGUGAAGAAAGCAAUAGAAGCAGCAAUAGCAACAACACCAAGAAGCAAUCCCCUGCAGAAAAGAAAGAUGGGGUCAUGGAAAAGCUCCAUAAUCAUAAUUACAACUUCAAAAUAAGAGCAAUGGGAGCAGCAACUGUAGGAGAAGUGGGACUAAAGGGCCUCAAAUUGAACGCCCUACACUCAAGAGUAAUCUCAAGAAAAUAACAAUAGUGGAUGUGGGUGAUAAUCAACAAAGGAUAGAAAAGAGGAAAGUUAGUUGGCCGGAUGCUCAUGGCAAAGAUAUUGCUCAUGUCCAAGAAUUUGAACCAAGUGUGUCAGAAGAUGGGGAACUUGAGGAAGUAAGGAACUCUUGUGUUUGUGCCAUUCAAUGAAACAAGGUGUCUAAGGUACGAUGCCCUGCUUCACAAUGAUCACCUGUGCAAGUUUCUAAAAACUCCAAUAAACAGUGUAUAAGUAUAUAAACCUCUUUUUUUUUUAAGUAUAUAAACCUCUGAAUGAUGCAUGAUUUUCGUACCAGUAUAAUGACCAUAUGAGGAGUUGACCUAAUAAUAUGAUUAUUUCAAAAUAAUUCUCAUGCUCAAAAGGUAUAUCUCUUGCUGAACCAUUUAAAUCAUGAAUCCUCAAAAGUUAUGAAUGGGGAAGGUACUAUCAACCAUGUAACAUUGGGAACCAUUCAGGGGUGCAUUAAUGGGGAAAAAGAAACAGUAAGUCUUGAUUGUCUAAACAAGUGUAUGGAACUUGAGGCACCAUGUAGAAGUAAUAAAACACAAUAUGUAGGGACUCAAAUGACACUUGAGCUACAGCCAGGGCACCUAUUUUUCUGUAGUCAUCAUAUCUCGGAAUAAAGAAAUAUGAUAGAUAUAAUGGGAAUAGCUUUUAGGAAGGUCAUGCUGCUCCUCAAUUGAAAUCACAACAAUAAAAAAUAAUUCACUAAAACAUAUGCAUAUAUAGGUUAUAAAGUGUUGCUGCAAGCCGGGGGAAGCAAACGAAUGCAAAUAUACAUCUAGAAAUAGUCUUAUAUUCUUGCAAAUGUUUCUAGUUUAUAAUGCUGAAUCAGUACUGUUGAUGAGUACGUACAGUUUGAAAACUUUCUACAUAUGACCCUAUGACAUUUCAAAUUAAGUGCCAUUCUUGGUUCUUAAAGGUUGCAGAUAGGUGAUUUGACUGCUUACUAGUUUCAAAAAAUAUUCCUUAUAUGCAUCUUACAUCAUAAAUCAUAAAUUUAUGAAAUGUGCAUGAAACUUCAUUACUGUAACACUUGUCACAAAGCGUAACUCGGGUUUUGGCAUAGGUAGCCAUGCAUACAGAAUCUCGAUCCUAGCUAGCUGUUAGCCAAGCUCAAAACACAGAUCGUAAUACUAGCGGCAUGUGCCACGUAUAUACGUUCAAAACGUAUACAUACGCAUGCACAUGUUAUUUCUAGCAGAUAUUUUAUAGAAUUUCCAUGAACUCAGUCAAUGAAAUAA